UUGACAACUUUGGAAACCGAAGGACUCUAUUUAUCCACAAAACAGGUACAAAAUGGCCAGUGGCGAUACAGAUCAUUUCAUACUGCCCUGCCAAUGUGCCUCAAAUACAAUUCUUAGGAAACUUAAAUGGAGUAGGACGGUUUUAAGACUCCCUUCUCCAUCAAUCUUUGACUCCC
rnacentral:sRNA from 1 species